rnacentral:rRNA from 1 species
CCUACGGGAGGCAGCAGUGGGGGAUAUUGCACAAUGGGGGGAACCCUGAUGCAGCGACGCCGCGUGGGUGAAGGAGCGUUUCGGCGCGUAAAGCCCUAUCGGCAGGGAAGAAGGAGGAUGGUACCUGACUAAGAAGCACCGGCUAACUCCGUGCCAGCAGCCGCGGUAAUACGGAGGGUGCGAGCGUUAACCGGAAUUACUGGGCGUAAAGCGCUCGUAGGCGGUAUGUCAAGUCAAGGGUGAAAUCCCCGCGCUCAACGUGGGAACUGCCGUUGAAACUGGCAAACUGGAGUGUGGGAGGGGUUAGUGGAAUUCCAGGUGUAGGGGUGAAAUCCGUAGAUAUCGGGAGGAACAUCGGUGGCGAAGGCGACUAUCUGGCACAUAACUGACGCUGAGGAGCGAAAGCGUGGGUAGCAAACAGGAUUAGAUACCCCUGUAGUC